GUGGGCAUCCUGGAGGAGGUGCUAUCAAGCAUGGGUAUGAACUGGGAAAGGCGAUGGCCAAGGCACUGAGGCAGGAACUGCCUAGAGGGGAGUGCCUGGAAGGGAUGGAUGGACGUGAAGAGCCAGACUCCUGGGAUCCUGAGCAGGUCUCCCGCUUGCUCUCCCGAAAGAGAGGAAUGCAGUGAGGGCUCUGCACACUGUUGUUGCCAGAAGCAUCUCUGUGCACGCGGAGGAGGACCUGGGUCAAGCGGCGGGGAGUCAGGAAAAGGAGUUUCAGGGGCCAAGUAGCAGCUGCCUGGACCCUGCUGCGGAGGUCUCUACCUGAGACAGCCUGGGGCUCCCCAGCCUUGAUUCAAGUCCUGAACUCCCUCUCUGGGAACACGGAAGGAGAACAGUAACACCCAUAAAGCAAGGUUGCCAUGGA